AUAUGGAAAGAAAAUCAGCAAGUUUGAGUUUUGGAGACGAGUCUAAACCUGGCUGCGCAUUGGAUCACCUGGAAACUAACAAAGAAACAAACACAACAGACCAAUAGAAUCCUGGGCUGCACUCAGACCCAGGGCAUCAGACUCUCAGCCCGGAAUCUGUAUGUCUGACGAGUACCUCUUGUAAUUCACGAGUGUGCUGCCCAGCACGAGGGAGGACUGGAGACAGGAAGCAUCUGGAAUCAUAGGAAGCGCCGGAGAAGUCCCGGGUCCUGGUUGUAGUCAAGGAGGUGCUUCCAGGUUUUUACUUACUUCUUCACCUCUCAGCUCAGUUACUUUCUGGACUUCCUGUUCUGUUUCCUGCUUCCACAAAAGCCUAGCUCUUAAUAUUUUUUUAAAUUAAAACUUCCACCAGCCAAAGGAAAGCAAUCCAUCUUUCUUCUCUACACAGUUUGAAGGAGAAACAGCCCAAGAGUGACUCUAACAAGUCACAGCAGAAAAUUAGAGGAAAGUUGACUCACCUUUUGCACCAUGCAUGCCACUCUCUGCUGCUUGCCAACAAUUGCUAACCUCAUGCGGGAUGUACCUAUGUCUAAAAAUGCAACCUCAAGAUGAGAGCCCCCUGUGACACCCAGCCUUCAGCAUCCUUGUGAUGUAUGAUAUUGGAGGAUGCUGUUGGGAACAUCUGGGAGGUGGUCCAAAGUGAGUAAUGGCCAGAUGAGCAAGAAAUGAGACAGAACUAGUGGUCACCUGCAAGGGGGCAGCAGAUGGCGGAGGGAACAGGAGUCCAUUUCAGUCUUCAAAGUUUUAACUGACCAGGCACUAAGGACUAAGUCCUCUCAUCCUUUUCUUCUUGGGGUUGCUUAAGUCUUGCUCAGAUGCCUUGUGUAUUCUUUCAGAAACUAUCAGCUUGCUGCACACAAAACAUGUGCACAGGGGUGGGGGGUGUGUGUGAGAGGGUGUUGAUACCGAGGAUAAAGACAAUGGUCACAACAGUCUGCGAUGGAAGAGAUCAGGAGAAAGGUCAGGGGCCUGCUGACCAGUUGUCAGAACCCUCCUCACGCCUCGCCCCAGAAUGCAAUCAGCUUUCCAAAUCAUCUGUUUGUGCAGAAGUUUCCAGCCGGUUAGAACUCUCUGUCCUCCCCUCCAGGGCCUUUCAGGGAACGCUGUAUUUUGAACGCCAGAUGAGGAAGCCAGAUGUUUUUCUCGUCUCCACCCACUGCACGGCUGCUGUUUGCCAAGGAUCGGGGCUGGUGGGGGCAGGGGUUUCUCAGCCCAUCAGCUCGGCCGCAGGUUUUGGUUCGCAAAGGGCAGGCUGCACCCUUCCUUGGUUAGGGGGCUCACCCUUCAGAUAA
rnacentral:lncRNA from 1 species